rnacentral:rRNA from 1 species
CCUACGGGAGGCAGCAGUGGGGAAUAUUGCACAAUGGGGGAAACCCUGAUGCAGCGACGCCGCGUGAGUGAAGAAGUAUUUCGGUAUGUAAAGCCCUGUCAGCAGGGAAGAAAAUGACGGUACCUGACCUAGAAGCCCCGGCUAAAUACGGUCCAGCAACCGCGGGAAUACGUAGGGGGCAAGGGUUUACCGGAUUUACGGGGGGUAAAGGGAGCGUAGGCGGCAGGGCAAGUCUGGAGUGAAAGGCGGGGGCCCAACCCCCGGACUGCUCUGGAAACUGCAAGGCUGGAGUGCAGGAGAGGUAGGUGGAAUUCCUAGUGUAGCGGUGAAAUGCGUAGAUAUUAGGAGGAACACCAGUGGCGAAGGCGGCUUACUGGACUGUAACUGACGUUGAGGCUCGAAAGCGUGGGGAGCAAACAGGAUUAGAUACCCGGGUAGUC